rnacentral:lncRNA from 1 species
UAAUCCGCAGUAUGCUACCAUGAAAUGUCAUACUGUGUGUGAUGUCCAUUUCUUGAUAUUAAUAUUUUUGCUAUAAGAUGGCCGUUAAGGAUAACCAAAUCAAGAUUACACGUGUUAUGUGUAUAAAUUUGGUAGCCUGGCAUAGUAAUUUGGAGCCCAGCUCUGUAAAUAACAUUUAUGAUAUUUUAUUCUUUCUCAGUAAUUGACUUCUUAGAGACUUGUUUCUCCACUGGGGAUACUGUUACUUACCUUCUUGGGUUAUUUUGAGAGAUACACAUUUCUCUCG